rnacentral:rRNA from 1 species
GACGAACGCUGGCGGCGCGCCUAACACAUGCAAGUCGAACGAGCGAGAGAGAGUUUACUUUUUCGAGCGAGUGGCGAACGGGUGAGUAACGCGUGAGGAACCUGCCUCAAAGAGGGGGGACAACAGUUGGAAACGACUGCUAAUACCGCAUAAGCCCACGACCCGGCAUCGGGUAGAGGGAAAAGGAGCAAUCCGCUUUGAGAUGGCCUCGCGUCCGAUUAGCUAGUUGGUGAGGUAAUGGCCCACCAAGGCGACGAUCGGUAGCCGGACUGAGAGGUUGAACGGCCACAUUGGGACUGAGACACGGCCCAGACUCCUACGGGAGGCAGCAGUGGGGAAUAUUGCACAAUGGGGGAAACCCUGAUGCAGCGACGCCGCGUGGAGGAAGAAGGUCUUCGGAUUGUAAACUCCUGUUGUUGAGGAAGAUAAUGACGGUACUCAACAAGGAAGUGACGGCUAACUACGUGCCAGCAGCCGCGGUAAAACGUAGGUCACAAGCGUUGUCCGGAAUUACUGGGUGUAAAGGGAGCGCAGGCGGGAAGACAAGUUGGAAGUGAAAUCCAUGGGCUCAACCCAUGAACUGCUUUCAAAACUGUUUUUCUUGAGUAGUGCAGAGGUAGGCGGAAUUCCCGGUGUAGCGGUGGAAUGCGUAGAUAUCGGGAGGAACACCAGUGGCGAAGGCGGCCUACUGGGCACCAACUGACGCUGAGGCUCGAAAGUGUGGGUAGCAAACAGGAUUAGAUACCCUGGUAGUCCACACUGUAAACGAUGA